AUCCGGCUCUCGUCGGGGAUCAAUCCCUGACGAGGGUUAUUCUGAACGUGAACAGACUCGCCGAUGAGCUUCGUCAGGAGGCCGAUGUACUCAUCCUUAUCGAGGUCGAGCCCGGAGAGCAGCGGCGAUAAGAGAGACGUCAUGUUGGCCGCGGAUUU
rnacentral:SRP_RNA from 16 species